rnacentral:lncRNA from 1 species
CCGUUACAGAGCUUCUAAAAGAAUCAAAGUAUAAAAUAUAUGUGGUUGUAAAAAAGUGCCUUGUAAAUUUUAAAGCACUAGAGAGAUGAGGCCACCCAUUUUGGCUUCCACUAACCCGGAGGAACCUGGAGCAAGGAAACCAAAGGAAGUAUUCAGGAAGCUUCAGAUUUGACUGCUGGCAUUAUAGGCAAGAAUUACACACACGACUUACUGUUCACUAUUGAUGAGAACUCGUGUUCUCAUUUCGGGCAAUGUUUAGAAUGAAGCUCCAUUAAACAUGCUUGCUCCGAGGAAUAUCCUUA